CCACGACGCUCGGCAUGUAUCCGGGGUUCUAUCUGUAAAAUUAGGGUGGUAACUUGCACGUAAACGAUAUUUUCGAAGACAGCACCCAGCCACAACACUGCCCAGCCAUGUCAGAAUGUUCAGUACUAGAGGCUGCCUUACGGCACAACCCGCUUUUUUUCCUGGCGGCUCCAAACACACUGAAGAAGCGAACAGAGGCAAAUUCAGAACCCAAGUAAGC